GACGAACGCUGGCGGCGUGCCUAAUACAUGCAAGUUGAGCGAUGAAGAUUGGUGCUUGCCCCAAUUUGAAGAGCAGCGAACGGGUGAGUAACGCGUGGGGAAUCUGCCUUUGAGCGGGGGACAACAUUUGGAAACGAAUGCUAAUACCGCAUAACAACUUUAAACAUAAGUUUUAAGUUUGAAAGAUGCAAUUGCAUCACUCAAAGAUGAUCCCGCGUUGUAUUAGCUAGUUGGUGAGGUAAAGGCUCACCAAGGCGAUGAUACAUAGCCGACCUGAGAGGGUGAUCGGCCACAUUGGGACUGAGACACGGCCCAAACUCCUACGGGAGGCAGCAGUAGGGAAUCUUCGGCAAUGGACGAAAGUCUGACCGAGCAACGCCGCGUGAGUGAAGAAGGUUUUCGGAUCGUAAAGCUCUGUUGGUAGAGAAGAACGUUGGUGAGAGUGGAAAGCUCAUCAAGUGACGGUAACUACCCAGAAAGGGACGGCUAACUACGUG
rnacentral:rRNA from 1 species